CCAUUGAGGGCUCAUCCUCUUCCAAAUCAAAGGCUUCUAAGACUUUGUUCUCCCGUGGUGGAGAAGAGAGUGUCCUAAACAAAUUUAUGGACACCAUCUUAAUCAUUUCUUGCAUCAUAGUUUCUGAGAAUUUCCCAUUUGCAGAAGAAACAUAAUCCACAAGCUCUACCAGUGUUUGUCGCUUGAUGUCCUUCUCUUUGAAGUUCUUAGUAGGGUCACUGAAGUCAAACACAAAGCAACAUAAGUUCAGCUUUCGGAUAAACA
rnacentral:misc_RNA from 1 species